UGGGGUCAUAGGAAGCUUAUGUGACAAAAAAAACUAUAAUUAUUAAAUAAACAACUAUGUUUAAACAAAAGGCAAAACAGUCAAAACCUAAAUUAACAUUAACUUAAAAUUCAUUCCAACAGAAAAUUAUCAAAACAUAAGAAAAACAUCAACAUUAUCAAAACAUAAGAAUCUUUCGACCCUUUCCAGAUCAAAACUCGGAGAUAAAAUUAACACAAAAGAAAAAUAACAUCGCAGCUCGAAGGAUUUCAUUUCAAAAUCAAUAAACAUAGACACCAAAAGAUAAUAUAUGUAUCACUAUACGCCGUUAGAUUUCUCCAGAUGAACAAAAGUACAUAUAUGUAACACUGACACGACCGCAUUAGAUGAACAAAAGUCAUCUUCUCCAGAUCUGACAAAAAUCGUGUUUGAAUUCACUAUAUACCAGUUAGAUUUCUCUCUCUAAAUCUAUCACUAUGUACAUAUAUGUAUGACUUCUGUAUAUCUUGAGAUUUGCAGAUAUACCAGUUAGAUUUCUCCCUCUACGAGAUUUGCAGAUCUUGAGCUAAGGUUUUUUAGAAAGACGGUUUGGUGAUCCACGCCGGAGUGUUUCUCGCAGACGAAGAGCUUCCGAUCGUUAACGGCAACGGAGAUCCACGUCAGAUGGAGCGGAUCGAAGGAGAACGAGAACUUCCAGGGCGACAACAUGUAGAGAAGGUCGGAGUUGAAAGGGGCGUCCAUGGCCGGCGAGCAUCAGGGAGAAUGAUCUGAGAUGUAUAUAAUUUUUAAAUCUGAGAUGUAUAAAUUUUGGUUGCAGAUUUUAGAUCUUUAAUAUUUGGUAGGAGUUUUUGAUGAUCUGAGAUGUAUAAAUCUGAGAUGUACAUGAUCUGUUUUGUCGUUUUUAUUUAAUUUAAAUAAUUAAUAUAAGUGAUUUGACGAAUAUGUCAUUAAUGUAUAAUAAAAAUAUAAAUAGA
rnacentral:lncRNA from 1 species